AUGCUUUCUCUUGUCAACAAGCAAGGUACUUCUUUCAGCAACUACUUUCGGAGGUCUGCUACUGCCAUUUCAUGGAAAUCUGUCACCAUGAUCUUAAACAUGAUGAGAGUCGAACAUCCCAGUGAAAAUUUGCAACUUUGGUUACUCAAAGGUGCUAAUACUUGUGUUAUGUAUCAUGGAUUGCUAGAAUUGAUCUUUCCCUUUUAUGCUCUUCAAUUGAUAUACCGUAUUCAGCUAUCUAACUCUUGCUUUCCAUACACUUCUUUAGCAGAACAUCAUCAUAUAUUUGACUGCUUAAAGAGACGACUUUGA
rnacentral:rRNA from 1 species